UGAGAUGUUGGGUUAAGUCCCGCAACGAGCGCAACCCUCAUCUUCAGUUGCCAUCAGGUUUGGCUGGGCACUCUGGAGAAACUGCCCGUGACAAGCGGGAGGAAGGCGGGGAUGACGUCAAGUCCUCAUGGCCCUUACGGGCUGGGCUACACACGUGCUACAAUGGCGGUGACAAUGGGCAGCGAAGGGGCGACCUGGAGCUAAUCCACAAAAACCGUCUCAGUUCGGAUUGUACUCUGCAACUCGAGUGCAUGAAGGUGGAAUCGCUAGUAAUCGUGGAUCAGCAUGCCACGGUGAAUACGUUCCCGGGCCUUGUACACACCGCCCGUCACACCAUGGGAGUUGGUUUUACCCGAAGGUGGUGAGCUAACCCGCAAGGGAAGCAGCCAACCACGGUAAGGUCAGCGACUGGGGUAAGUCGUAACAAGGUAACCAAGGGCGAUUCGCGGCCGCUA
rnacentral:rRNA from 1 species